rnacentral:rRNA from 1 species
UUUUUUAACCCCCGGGGAAUGAGCUAGGACGUGCGUUUCUAUUUUGUUGGGUCCUAGCACCGCAGUAAUGAUUAUAGGGACAGUCGGGGGAGUCCGUAUUCNAUCGUGAGAGGUGAAAUUCUUGGAUCUAUUGAAGACGAACUACUGCGAAAGCUUCGCCAGGGAUGUUUCUUAAUCAGGAACGAAAGUUAGGGGAUCGACGACGAUCAGAACCGUGGUAGUGUUAACCAUGAACUAGGCCGUUUAGGGAUCGGACGAUGUUAUUUUUUGACUCGUUCGGCACCCUCCAAUAAAUCAAAAUGUAUGGGCUCCUGGGGGAGUAUGGUCGCAAGGCGGAAAGUCAAAGAAAGUGACGGAAGGGCACCACCAGGGGUGGAGCAUGCUGCAUAAUUUGACUCAACACUGGGAAACUCUCCAUGUCCAUACACCAGUCGGACAUACAGACCCAGGAGCCCUAACGAUUUGAUGGGUGGUGGGGCAUGGCCCGAGUCAAAAGAUAAAAUGAUUCGUUCGCUUAUUUGCGAUAACGAUGGUUACGUUUACGUGCUAAUUNGCUCGUGUCGCUCCGCCGGCACGCCGGCCUUUNAGAGGGACAAUCGGCUCAAGCCGAUGGAAGCUGAGGCAAGAACAGGUAUGUGAUGCCAUUAGAUGUUCUGGGCCGCACGCGCGAUACACNGACAGAGCCAACGAGUUCUCCCUGNCCGGAAGAACCCANUNNAAUCCNNCNCAACGC